AACAAGGAGGAUAAGCAAUAAGUCACUGAAUUUUGUGAACUUACUCUGUCUAUAUUAUUGUGACAGAAUCAUGUUGGUGGGAUAAAAAGUUGAGUGUUUUUUUUUUUUUUCUUCUAACAUUUGGGUUUCAAAAAUUGGAUCUCCACAUAAAGACAAAAAUAGAUGUUUAUUCUAUAAACAUUAUAACUAUAUUUUGUAAUUGUCUUUUCUAACUCAUUUGCACUAAGGUGCAAUUCUGCAUCAAGUGCACAAACUAAAUAGUUGUCUCAAGGGAUUUUAAAAUUGAAAAAUUUAUUUUUACCAAGCUUGCCAUCUAUUCUGGGUUAAAACACAAUUCUAUUAUUUAUUAAAACAAUAAAUAAUUGCAUGUAUGAUAUAGAAAAAUAAAUAAAUUAUGAUCACGACUUCAGGUGGUGAUAAAGUGUAAAUAUAAA
rnacentral:lncRNA from 1 species